AUUGAACGCUGGCGGCAGGCCUAACACAUGCAAGUCGAACGAGUGGCGGACGGGUGAGUAAUGUCUGGGAAACUGCCAGAUGGAGGGGGAUAACUACUGGAAACGGUAGCUAAUACCGAAUAACAUAGGGUGUGCCCAGAUGGGUUUAGAUAGUAGGGGGGGUACAGGCUCAACUAGGCGACGAUCCCUAGCUGGUCUGAUAGGAUGACCAGCCACACUGUAACGGAGACACGGUCCAGACGCCUACGGGAGGCAGCAGUGGGGAAUAUUGCACAAUGGGCGCAAGCCUGAUGCAGCCAUGCCGCGUGUAUGAAGAAGGCCUUCGGGUUGGAAAGUACUUUCAGCGGGGAGGCGUUACCCGCAGAAGAAGCACCGGCUAACUCCGUGCCAGCAGCCGCGGUAAUAC
rnacentral:rRNA from 1 species